rnacentral:rRNA from 1 species
GUAGGGAAUCUUCCGCAAUGGACGAAAGUCUGACGGAGCAACGCCGCGUGAGCGAUGAAGGCCUUCGGGUCGUAAAGCUCUGUUGUUAGGGAAGAACAAGUGCUAGUUGAAUAAGCUGGCACCUUGACGGUACCUAACCAGAAAGCCACGGCUAACUACGUGCCAGCAGCCGCGGUAAUACGUAGGUGGCAAGCGUUGUCCGGAAUUAUUGGGCGUAAAGCGCGCGCAGGCGGUUUCUUAAGUCUGAUGUGAAAGCCCCCGGCUCAACCGGGGAGGGUCAUUGGAAACUGGGAAACUUGAGUGCAGAAGAGGAAAGUGGAAUUCCAAGUGUAGCGGUGAAAUGCGUAGAGAUUUGGAGGAACACCAGUGGCGAAGGCGACUUUCUGGUCUGUAACUGACGCUGAGGCGCGAAAGCGUGGGGAGCAAACAGGAUUAGAAACCCUUGUAGUCC